CUGAGGUAGGGCUUUAUCUCCACACUGGCAUCUUGUUUGUAUUACAUAUGAGAUGUUUUGGGGUGGAGAUAGUGCCCUGCUUCCCUC
ensembl:miRNA